rnacentral:rRNA from 1 species
UCUGUUGUUAAAGAAGAACACGUAUGAGAGUAACUGUUCAUACGUUGACGGUAUUUAACCAGAAAGUCACGGCUAACUACGUGCCAGCAGCCGCGGUAAUACGUAGGUGGCAAGCGUUAUCCGGAUUUAUUGGGCGUAAAGAGAGUGCAGGCGGUUUUCUAAGUCUGAUGUGAAAGCCUUCGGCUUAACCGGAGAAGUGCAUCGGAAACUGGAUAACUUGAGUGCAGAAGAGGGUAGUGGAACUCCCAUGUGUAGCGGUGGAAUGCGUAGAUAUAUGGAAGAACACCAGUGGCGAAGGCGGCUACCUGGUCUGCAACUGACGCUGAGACUCGAAAGCAUGGGUAGCGAACAGGAUUAGAUACCCCUGGUAG